CGACCAGUAGGCCUACUCUUGGCACGCAAGACGUAAAUUCAUAUUGUGUUAAGAUCGAACACAAGUUUAUGGCAAUUUCAAGUUAGAUUUGGCACUCCCGACAUGAAUUGGCUCACGAUCGUGUUCUAAUUCGAAUUGGUUCUAACUUGUGUUGGAUUGUGAGUCAAUUUUGACAGUUACUCUGUGAAAGAAUGAAUGAAAACGAAAAAAAAAACAAAUUGUCAUUAAAAUUCUUGUUGUCAUGGCCGGUCGGUGGAUUUUCAUAAUAAGUAACAACUUAAAAAGUUUAAAAUCCAAUAUUAUGAGUUCCGCAACUCGGCCGUCGUACCGCCAGACGAAAUUACUUGUAGAAUAUCUAGAAAGUUACCCAGGAAUGGCCAGGGAUCUUCUUAAGACCGACCUAGGGAAGUUAAAAUUAUGAGAAAAUAACAUCAAUGGCCUCGACCUUAAAUGCGGUCGAAGGGUCUUGAAAAGAUGGACUUAACGUAAAACUGAGGACUGCCGUGGUAAAUGGCAGGAUCAUAACAUACUUAAAGUCGAGGUGCAGCAUCCUAAGCUUAUCCUAAACUAUCAAGCCGCUCAGCUCAUCCUCACAGCACCUCACAGCAUAGAUGCAGCCGCCGCUACAAAGUUGAUGUAGAAGUAGACAGAGUGAUGGCCAUAGAGGAAAAGCAGGGAUAGGCCGAACUGCUGACAGCAUGGGCUAAUGCCCUAAAGCCUAAAGGGGACCUUGCAGCAGCUGCCCGUGAUGGAGUCAAUAUCCUCAUAGAAAUUGCGCAACAGCUAUCAAGAAAUACAAAGUUAAGGGCAUCUAGACCCAUAACCAUUGUCAGUACUUAUGGGUCCAGAUG